AACAUCACCGGUAAUGCUUCACUUCACUUUUUACACAGCAUGAUAAAUAUACCCCUUAGCGUACUGAUCAUCUUUCCACUCAAAUCCAGUCCUACCCCCCACUUUACUAUUUCUAUUAAUAGCAUGUACAUUAAUCCUGUCAACUCAGAACGUUGUGUGGGGGUGAUCAUAUAAACACUACUGUCAAAACCUAUCACUUUUUCUUAUGCAAUAUUGCCGAAAUCCAUCCCUUUCUUUAACAAGCAACAGCUAAGACGUUCGUGCAUGUGCUGUUCCUAUCCCACCUAGAUUACUGUAACCUGCGACUAACUGGGUCCCCUAACUCCCCAAUACAGCCUGCAUAAAUUAUGCUACUAAAAUUCUCCUUUUCUCAUCCAAGAGAGUACAGGCCCCUCCACUGCUGAAGUUCUUUCAAUGGCUUCCUUUUAAACAUUAAACAAAGAAUAACUUAUAAACGCCUUCUCAUAGCUUUCAUUCCCUCUGCACCUCACUACAUAUCUCCUCUUGUACCAACCUGCCCACUCACCCAUGCACCCAACUGCACACACUCCCACACACCAGGGCCACUUUAGUAAAUGGGCAAAAGGGGCAUCUGCUUAGGGCCCAAUGUGCAACUGUGUCUUUAAUUUUUUUUUAAUUUCAUUUUUUUUUGCUCCCUCCCUCUUAGACAUACCCUCCUGCCGCUGCUGCCCUCACUCUGACCUCAUUGACUCCAUUCUCCUGGAUUGCUUCCUGCUAUGUACGCUCACUGCUCUUCUGAGAAAAUUCACGGGCAUUUAACCAGGCAGAGAGAGAGCACCAAGCAGGAAAGGAAAGAAAGAAGAAAACUUUGCUAUUGGGGCCUCUCUAGGGGAAUGCAGUUUGUCAGCUAAGAAUUGCCAAAAGGACCCCAGAGACAAGAAAGAAGAUAGCGGAGAGGAGCUCCACAAGCAGUACCUAGGGCUGGUGCUUGUUUGGGCAACAGGUAAGCACCUAAAAUCUCAAUGAUUUUGCCAUUCCUUCUCCUUUCAUUUUACCAUCAGGUUGUACAGAAGCAGAAUGGUGGCACAUAUUAUUGAAAAACUGCAAAAUAAAUAAAUAAAAAGAACUACAAAAGAAAAGAAUGAGAUUGGAUAGUCCAAAUUACAUCCAACUACAACUGGCAGUGAAAGGUAAACUUCCCCUUUUAAUGAGCAUUGUAGUAUUUGCGAUUCCAAAAAAGGCAAAAUAUUUGCACAUUUAUUAAAAUGGUCUGGGUUAAAAUAUAAUCAAUUUGCUUACUGUAGGCUGUUUUCUUCAGUUGCCUUUAGUAGCAAUGCUAAGAGCCACCCAGCAGCAUACCUUCAGUACUCAAGGUUUUUCUUUCCUAUAAACCAUACCUGUUAGCCUAAAUGACGUUUGUAUUAGUGCCAAACCAUGUGAAAAAUGCUAAACACUUUCCAAAUAUUGACACAAUAAUCUGAGUCUGAGUCAGGUCUGGCACACGAAAACUCUUCAUUUAGGCUUGUCCCUCAGGGAGAGCUAGACUUGCUGUUUGUAUACAGUAUGCAGUGCUUAUCCAGGAAAAAAAGAACAAAUAGACAUUUACAAAGCAGAUUUCUUAUUACAUGUAUGGGACCUGUUAUCCAGAAUGCUCACGGGUUUUCCGGGUAAGGAGGUUUUCCGUAAUUUAGA